rnacentral:rRNA from 1 species
UACGAAGGUCCCGAGCGUUGUUCGGAAUCACUGGGCGUAAAGGGAGCGUAGGCGGCAUGGUAAGUCAGAUGUGAAAUCCCGGGGCUCAACCCCGGAACUGCAUCCGAUACUGCCUUGCUUGAGGGUUGGAGAGGUGACUGGAAUUCUCGGUGUAGCAGUGAAAUGCGUGGAUAUCGAGAGGAACACUCGUGGCGAAGGCGGCUCUCUGGGACGGUACUGACGCUGAGACGCGAAAGCGUGGGGAGCGAACAGG